rnacentral:rRNA from 1 species
CUUUUCAUAAUAAAGAUUCUGCAAUCUGAUCUCAUCUGAUCUUGGAAGCUAAGCACAUUCAGGCCUGGCUGGCACUUGGAUGGGAAGCAAGUGGGAAAUACCAGGGAUCUCCAGGUAGAACGAAGA